rnacentral:rRNA from 1 species
CCUACGGGAGGCAGCAGUGGGGAAUAUUGGACAAUGGGCGAAAGCCUGAUCCAGCAAUGCCGCGUGAGUGAUGAAGGCCUUAGGGUUGUAAAGCUCUUUUACCAGGGAUGAUAAUGACAGUACCUGGAGAAUAAGCUCCGGCUAACUCCGUGCCAGCAGCCGCGGUAAUACGGAGGGAGCUAGCGUUAUUCGGAAUUACUGGGCGUAAAGCGUACGUAGGCGGUUAUUCAAGUCAGAGGUGAAAGCCCGGGGCUCAACCCCGGAACUGCCUUUGAAACUAGAUAACUAGAGUCUUGGAGAGGUUAGUGGAAUUCCGAGUGUAGAGGUGAAAUUCGUAGAUAUUCGGAAGAACACCAGUGGCGAAGGCGACUAACUGGACAAGUACUGACGCUGAGGUACGAAAGCGUGGGGAGCAAACAGGAUUAGAUACCCUGGUAGUCCACGCCGUAAACGAUGAUAACUAGCUGUCCGGGCACUUGGUGCCUGGGUGGCGCAGCUAACGCAUUAAGUUAUCCGCCUGGGGAGUACGGGUCGCAAGAUUAAAACUCAAAGGAAUUGACGG